rnacentral:snRNA from 1 species
GUGCUCCCUUUCUCAAGACAUAUAUUAAAAUUUGAGUGAUACAGAGAAGAUUAGCAUGGCCCCCUGCACAAAGAUGACACACAAAUUUAUGGAAUUUAAAAAAAGUGU